rnacentral:rRNA from 1 species
AAUUUUGGACAAGGGGGGAAACCCUGAUCCAGCCAUCCCGCGUGUAUUAUGAAGGCCUGCGGGUUGUAAUGUACGUUUGGCAGAGUAGAGAUGGUCCCUCCUCAUACGAUGUACUGCUGACGGUCCCGUCAGCAGAAGCACCGGCUAACCACGUGCCAGCAGCCGCGGUAACACGUAGCGUGCAAGCGUUAAUCGGAUUUACUGGGCGUAAAGCGGGGGUAGGCGGGUCGGAAAGAAAGUUGUGAAAUCCCAGGGCUCAACCUUGGAACUGCAUUUUUAACUGCCGAGCUAGAGUAUGUCAGAGGGGGGUAGGAUUCCACGUGUAGCAGUGAAAUGCGUAGAUAUGUGGAGGAAUACCGAUGGCGAAGGCAGCCCCCUGGGAUAAUACUGACGCUCAGACACGAAAGCGUGGGGAGCAAACA